rnacentral:rRNA from 1 species
UACGUAGGGUGCGAGCGUUAAUCGGAAUUACUGGGCGUAAAGCGUGCGCAGGCGGUUUGCUAAGACCGAUGUGAAAUCCCCGGGCUUAACCUGGGAACUGCAUUGGUGACUGGCAGGCUAGAGUAUGGCAGAGGGGGGGUAGAAUUCCACGUGUAGCAGUGAAAUGCGUAGAGAUGUGGAGGAAUACCGAUGGCGAAGGCAGCCCCCUGGGCCAAUACUGACGCUCAUGCACGAAAGCGUGGGGAGCAAACAGGGAUUACGAA